CAGUAGUUGAGCCUUGCAAGGAUCACUCUCAGAAAUUUGUCCAAUUUCUGCAGCUUCCUUAAUAGUUGCUGCAUAACUUCAUUUCAGGUUGCAGGUAAGAAAUUUGACCAUCAUGGAUGAGUAGCAUACAUGCACAUAGAAGUAUUGUAUGUUAGUAAACUGCUACAAUAGCCUUAUUUUACAACAUAAUAGCAGAGAAGUAGUGCAGCGAAAUAAUAGGACAAGUGUAGAGAUAUUUGGCCAAUAAAUUGAUGCAUUUACAUAUCAGGCAAACUUAUUCAAGAACAAAUAUAAGAAAUUUGAACACCAUGGAUGAGUAGCAUGACUUUGACUUCUUUUUUUUUAAAAUCCAGAUCCACAUAAUGUGAAGCAAUGAGUUCAUUGUAAGAAUUCAUUAGUUCAUAGUAUGCAUUGGUCUUUAUUUUUUUUUUAUCUUGACCUUUGAAAAACCAACGAAUCACACACUAAGCACGGCAUAUUAAAUAAUCAAUCGGAUUUUUUAUUUACUCAACCUUUUAGAAUUAGAAUUCUUUCAUUUUUUUUAGAGGUAAGAAAUUUGAACACCAUGGAUGAGUAGCAAACACGCAAAUAGAAGUAUCUACAUGUUAAUAAACAGCUAUAUUAGGCUAUUAGCUUCUUUUUUUUACAAAAUAAUAGCAGAGGUAGUGCAGCAAAAUAAUAGGAGAAGUGUUGCAAUAUUCAUCCAAUAAAUAUCACCAGAAGAUAUAAGCUCAGAGAAAACCUGGAUGACUGGUCAAAACCAUGUUGUGUUUGAACAAUAGAUUGACGCAUUUAUAUAUUAUACAGAACUAAUGGAGAACAAAUACCACCAGAAGACAUGAUCUAAGAAAUACCUGCAUGCCUUGUCAGAACCACUUAGUGAUUGCCCUUCAGUUGAACCUCUUUGUUUUCCAGGCAUGCCUUCAGAUUUGGGACAGCCCUGCACAUGACCAGUUGCUGAGGAGAUACAGCCAAUUUGUGCCUUCCAAU
rnacentral:lncRNA from 1 species